ACAAACCGGAGGAAGGUGGGGAUGACGUCAAGUCCUCAUGGCCCUUAUAGGUGGGGCUACACACGUCAUACAAUGGCUGGUACAAAGGGUUGCCAACCGCGAGGGGGAGCCAAUCCCAUAAAGCCAGUCGUAGUCCGGAUCGCAGUCUGCAACUCGACUGCGUGAAGUCGGAAUCGCUAGUAAUCGUGGAUCAGCAUGUCACGGUGAAUACGUUCCCGGGUCUU
rnacentral:rRNA from 1 species